CCNNCCCCUCCCUUCCUCUUGCGGAAUGGAGGAAAUCUAAUCCAACAUCGAGGUCGCAAACGUGUUUGUCAAUUUGAGCUUUCAAAACACAUUACGCUGUUAUCCCUAAAGUAACUUAUUUAACCUUCAAAAAUUUUGGGUAUUAAAAUAAUGUCAUUUAUAUAUUUUAAAAGUGUUUUUCUUCCUACCGCCCCAGUAAAACAUAUUUUUAAUUUAUUAAAUUAUUUUAUGUAAAGCUUUAUAGGGUCUUCUUGUCUAAAAGAAACAUUUUAGCCUUUUUACUAAAAAGUAAAUUUCAAAAGAAAAAGCUAAGAAAGAAACUUUCUAGUUUAUCCCUUCAUUCCAGUCUUAAAUUACAAGACUA
rnacentral:rRNA from 1 species